CAACUUAAGAAACCUGUGAUCUUAUGAGUAAAAAUAGGGCUUAGUAUUUGGAAGUGAGUCUAGAAAAGCCUUCAGAAAAACUGCUGUGGUGAUUGAACUGAAACAACACAGGCAGAGACACUGAAGGUGCCAGGGAGGGGUACUCCAGAGAGACGAGGAAGCCAGAGAGAAGACCACGCCAGGAUUCUGCAGAGGCAGCUUCAGCCACCUCUCAACUCCUCUUGGCCCCAGGAGAAGGAAGCUCGCAGGCAUUACCGUUGAAGAUGAAGACUUCCUGCCAUUGGCUCCCAGCAGAGCCAGUGCCUGACACAGCAUUUUUUGAAUUGAUAUUGGCCAGCACUAGAAGCCCUGAUAUCAGAAGAUGGAGUUUCAAGAGGAGACACGCAAAGUCUAGAGUGAGGAUUGGAAAAGCAAAAGAACGAUUUCCAGGGGAAUAACUGAAGCUUGGCAAGAGCCUUACUGAAAAUGUCUCUGGCUUAUGGCUAUAAAUUUAAGAAGAAAGAAAGAAAAGAAAAAAGAAAUCCAAAUCCCAUGUCUGCACAGGAAAAGUAUUUCUCUUUGCUGGAAUGUCUCAGAAGGAUUGGACAUAAUUAGGAAUAAAAAAAUUUUCACUGUCUUUUCAACUUCCUACCUAAUUACUAAUUAGCUUGACUCUGUGCUAUCAGAAGAAAGAUGUGAAUAAUGUUUAGAAGGCUUCAGAAAAGGACAAUGUUAUGACAACAGAGAAAACCAACUCCACUGACAGAGAAUGAUGCUUGAUUUCUGAGGUAUAUUCAUGCGAAUGUGCCUUACAAAUAUUUAUCGUAUAUCAUGUAAGAGCAGCUAAAAUUGGCCAUGGUAAUCAGGGUCUCUGUAUUUCAGCACUCUCAUUUGUAAAGUAGACCAAGAAUACCUGCCUGCAGGCACAGUCAUGUCUUCAUAGUGAAGCAGCAGUGCCCUAAAAGGGCUAAGGCAGUCCUGAGGGCUAGGAGGUGGGGGGAAGGGGGCCUGAUGGAUCCAUUGAACUGAUACUAAAUAAUCACUCUCUGGGACAGUCAGGUCAGGCACCAGGUCAGUUUUAAUUAACAAUAAUCUACUGAGCCUGGCAUGCUGUCCUAGACGCCAUGGAGAAUACGAAGGUGUCACCCAAUCCAAGGCUUCAUAGAGAAAGUCCAGAGCAAAUCCAUGUGGCAUGUCACCAGAAUUAAUACAUCAGCUACUGGUAGGUCUGCAGUUGCGUUGAACCACACCACCUCCAGUCACUCAGCCAAAGAUGGUGUCAGUCAUUCAGAUGUCUGAUCCAUGAGAAACACUGGGGUAUGUUUUUAGGUAAGUGAGUUCCAACCAGAAAAGAGAAGACAGUAUCAAUCAAAUUAGAUAGAUGUUUUGCUAACUUAGUCCUGAGCAUGUAUACAGCAUUUCAGAGUUUCUACACCACUUUCUUGCAUGUGAUGUAUCCCCUCCUCACAGGAAACCAAUAAGAGAGACAGGCACAAUUUGAAGACAGACUAAAAAUCAAAAAACUCAGAUGAGUUCUGCAAAGUCACGGGUGGGACAAAAUAUCUUCAUGGGUGUCAGGCCUGGGACUCGCACUGCAGGGUCAUCCUGAUGCACCAAACAACAGCCACACGAAAGCAAGUCCUUGCUUAUCAACAACCCCUACUCCCCCUCCCUUUCUUCUCUUCCUCCUCUUCCCCCAUCACUGGAUUAUCUGGUAAGAGCACAUGAGAGAGUUUUACUAUGGCUCAAAAUGCAUUGGCAAUUCCUACUACU